rnacentral:tRNA from 1 species
GAAACAAACAUAGUGUUUAGUGAGGGCUUCUAACUCUUAUUAGAGUGGUUCAACUCCAUUCUUGUUUUUA